UUAUAGCCCCGAUAGAAGCGAUAUCCUUUGCUUUUUUCUUUAAAAAAGCAAAGAUAAAGCGUAUAGCGGGAGGAAUC
rnacentral:sRNA from 1 species